GGUGAUGUGGCUGAGUGGCCGAAAGCACCUCCCUGCUAAGGAGGCAUAUCUAUCACAGGUAUCCAGGGUUCGAAUCCCUGCAUCACCGCCA
rnacentral:tRNA from 1 species